rnacentral:lncRNA from 1 species
CAAAUAUGCCCGAAGUGAUAGGGGUGACCAUUUAAACACCCUAUCUUGAUAUAUUGCUCUUUGGUUUUUGUCGGUUUUAUCCAGUAUUAACGCCCUCAUGAGCAGCGGCGUCGUUAUAAUAAAGAUCCCUCGAGAAUUGGAUGUGUUUAAGUUCUAAAGGCUGAUGGAACAUUGAUUAUCAAUAGCGCCACGCUUUAUUUGAUACUUUUGCAAUUUCGAGAAUUCGAUCCACAAGGGAAGCUGAAUUAUCUAGUUGAAUUGUUUGGCAUUGCAAUUCGUCGUUUGUAUAUAUUAAAUGGCUACGCCAAACGUCGAGGAGAAUACGCAGAAUACUGCAGAACCAUCGAGCAAAGCUAAAAGCGGUGGCACAAGGUGGGAAGCUUUUAUAAUCUUAUGUUCCCCGGCUUUUGUUGAUCUCAUGAGUCUCGAUUUACAGAUUUUGUUGUUUAUAUGAUAUUAUAGCGUUGAUUCAAUAAGUAUGCUCAAUAAUAUACACGCCAUAACUCGAUUCUUUUUCAAUUUUGCGUCAUUUAGAUUUACAAAAUUGUACAUAUAUUUUACUGUAAAGGCUUUUGCCAUGUUUUAUGUUUAUGAAAACUCGACAGCGGCCCUCAACGAACGUUAAUAAGCCGUCUGCCGUUUUCAAUUUGUUGCUUGAGUUGAAGUAUAUAGUAUCUGUCGCUUAUAUCGUUAUGUUUGUUAAAUUCACAGGGUGUUCAAGAAAGCAUCGCCGAAUAGUAAGGUAUGAUUUUCCAUGGAGAGCAAUUUUUCUUCAAACAAAUUAUAACGUAGUAAAUCGUUCGUGUGCGAU